rnacentral:lncRNA from 1 species
UGCCUGUAAUUUGUGCCAAAUGAAAUAAUAAAUAGAAUUGAAAUAGUAAAAAAUGAAGUCAGAACCUAAAUAAAAGUCUCAAGACCUUUUUGAGAUAGAGUAGUUAAAAAUUAUCUUUUUUUGCAUUUGAUGAAUCGACUUAUCAGGCGAAAGUCAAAACAACACUGAGAAGUAACAUUAUCUUCACUGACACAGUGUCAAUGAUUACUGCUCACUUUAUAUCAAUACACUGCAACAUAAAAAUAACCAGACUGCGCAGAUUUCUACAGAUCAACAUGGAUGCUCUGCUCAUGAAGAAGCUAAAUUGCUUCUGACAGGUUCCUAGUGAUACCACAUAGAACAUUUGCAGGCAGACUGCUAAACACAUACAGGGGAAAAAAAAAAAAAGCUGAACUCACCUAUCUGGAGGGGCUCUCCAGCAAUACAGCACUCCUUCCUAAGAAGCAGCGUAGGCCCAAAAGAUCCCCUCCCUUCAGCAGCUGGCCCUUAUGUGAACCCAGGGCAGCUCCACUCUGGGUCUGACCCUUCCAGUCACACAGUGAGCACAGGUGCAAACAAUGUGCCUGUAUACCGGUUCCCGCUGAGGCCUAGCAGCUCCUUUACACGUGGAUCAAGUUUUCACACAGGAGCUGAAGAAGGAUGAUCAUGUUCUUAGUACCUAGUUUCCCUCCCCACCUCCUUUUUUUCCUUCUCUUCUACUUUUUUUUCUUAAUUGAGCCCACUUUAAAGGAUAAGACAAUGAGUCAAACUGUAGUGGAGAUCCUAUGUCGCAGCUUAAACCAGUGAUUGAGCACCUGGUGGAAAGGAAGGGCCAAACCAGCAUGCACCUGACUGACUGGAAGGGGGUGGAGCCAGGAUCCACUCCUUCCCAAGACCUCAUUUAGGAGUUGGCAGUGGAGGUAAGGGUAACUCUCUGGAAAUCUUUGUGUACCUGAGGUUUUUUGAGGGUGAGUAGUUUCUUUUCUUUAUUUCUGUGCCUAUGGUUGUUGUGUUUGAGUGAAUCCUCACUUGCUGCAGCCUGGGAUUUUGCUGCUCUGCUGAUAUUUUUGUGCUUUCUAUCGUGUUAUGCAAAGCCAAGAGUAAAUAUCAGUAAGGGGAGGAAUGUUGUGAAGAAUAGAAGAAAGAGGUAGGAUGGAAAGUAUUAUGAUGGUUUAAGUGAACCAAACAUUAGAAAUAGCUGAUUGCUAUGAAUCUCAUAAAGAAAAAGAAAGUUCAAAGUUAUAAAAUCAGGCUGGAAAAUGAAUGAGACUAAUAGAUUAUAGAAGUAAAAACUUAUACUGGAUGGAGCUAAUAUUAGUAAGGCACAGGGUAUGUGACAAAUGGGUGCUCAGGAUGUAUCGUACUUCCUGUUUUGGGCUUCUUCUGGAAGACUAAACACAGUCAAUGCUUAGUAUGUUAUUGGGUAAUUCUUUUGUGAUAAUGUGUAGAGUAAAUAAAAUCCACCCCAGAACAUACUGAAAAAUCA